rnacentral:rRNA from 1 species
CCCUUAGAGUUUGAUCCUGGCUCAGGACGAACGCUGGCGGCGUGCCUAAAACAUGCAAGUCGAACGGUGUAGCAAUACACAGUGGCGAACGGCGGAGUAAUACAUAAGCAACGUGCCCUGAAGACUGGGAUAGUCAGAGGAAACUCUGGGUAAUACCAGAUGUGGUCAUCAUCCGGCAUCGGGAGAUGAUUAAAUGGUUUUUCGCUUCAGGAGCGGCUUAUGGCCUAUCAGGUAGUUGGUGGGGUAAUGGCCUACCAAGCCGACGACGGGUAGCGGGUCUGAGAGGAUGAUCCGCUCGAGUGGGACUGAGACACGGCCCACACACCUACGGGUGGCAGCAGUUGGGAAUCUUGCACAAUGGGGGAAACCCUGAUGCAGCGACGCCGCGUGGAGGAUGAAGGAUCUAGGUCUGUAAACUCCUUUUUCAGGGAAAGACUUAGGACGGUACCCUGAGAAUAAGGACCGGCUAACUACGUGCCAGCAGCCGCGGUAAGACGUAGGGUCCAAGCGUUGUCCGGAUUUACUGGGCGUAAAGAGCGCGUAGGCGGUCUGUUAAGUGUGAAGUGAAAUCUCCAGGGCUCAACCCGGAAACUGCUUUACAUACUGGCAGACUGGAGUGAUGCAGAGGUUUGUGGAAUUCCUGGUGUAACGGUGAAAUGUGUUGAUAUCAGGAGGAACACCCAUGGCGAAGGCAGCAAACUGGGCAUUAACUGACGCUGAGGCGCGAAAGCGUGGGUAGCAAACAGGAUUAGAUACCCUGGUAGUCCAUGCCCUAAACGAUGGAUACUAGGCGUAAGAGGUAUCGACCCCUCUUGUGCCGCAGCUAACGCAUUAAGUAUCCCGCCUGGGGAGUACGGCCGCAAGGUUGAAACUCAAAUGAAUUGACGGGGACCCGCACAAGCGGUGGAGCAUGUGGAUUAAUUCGAUGCAACGCGAAAAACCUUACCUACCCUUGACAUGGCUGGAACCUCCGAGAGAUCGGGGGGUGCCCGAAAGGGAACCAGUACACAGGUGCUGCAUGGCUGUCGUCAGCUCGUGUCGUGAGAUGUUGGGUUAAGUCCCGCAACGAGCGCAACCCUUGUCAUUAGUUGCUACGAAAGGGCACUCUAAUGAGACUGCCGGUGACAAACCGGAGGAAGGUGGGGAUGACGUCAAGUCCUCAUGGCCCUUAUGGGUAGGGCUUCACACGUCAUACAAUGGUACAUACAGAGGGCCGCCAACCCGCGAGGGGGAGCUAAUCCCAGAAAGUGUAUCGUAGUCCGGAUUGUAGUCUGCAACUCGACUGCAUGAAGUUGGAAUCGCUAGUAAUCGCGGAUCAGCAUGUCGCGGUGAAUACGUUCCCGGGUCUUGUACACACCGCCCGUCACACCAUGGGAGCGGGUUUUACCAGAAGUAGGUAGCUUAACCGCAAGGAGGGCGCUUACCACGGUAGGAUUCGUGACUGGGGUGAAGUCGUAACAAGGUAACCAAGGG